CAUGUACUCCCUCCGUUCGGAAUUACUCGUCCAAGAAAUGAAUGUAUCUAGAUGUAUUUUAGUUGUAGAUACAUCCAUUUUUGUGACAAGUAAUUCCGAACGGAGGGAGUAGCUU
rnacentral:pre_miRNA from 1 species